UACGUAGGGGGCAAGCGUUAUCCGGAUUUACUGGGUGUAAAGGGAGCGUAGACGGAUGGACAAGUCUGAUGUGAAAGACUGGGGCUCAACCCCGGGACUGCAUUGGAAACUGCCCGUCUUGAGUGCCGGAGAGGUAAGCGGAAUUCCUAGUGUAGCGGUGAAAUGCGUAGAUAUUAGGAGGAACACCAGUGGCGAAGGCGGCUUACUGGACGGUAACUGACGUUGAGGCUCGAAAGCGUGGGGAGCAAACAGG
rnacentral:rRNA from 1 species